rnacentral:rRNA from 1 species
GACGAACGCUGGCGGCGUGCUUAACACAUGCAAGUCGAACGGUGAAGCGCCUUCCUUUUUGGUGGGUGUGGAUGAGUGGCGAACGGGUGAGUAACACGUGAGUAACCUGCCCCCUUCUUCUGGAUAACCGCAUGAAAGUGUGGCUAAUACGGGAUAUUCUGGGUCUGUCGCAUGAGGGGUCUGGGAAAGAUAUUGUUUCGGUGGGGGAUGGGCUCGCGGCCUAUCAGCUUGUUGGUGGGGGGAUGGCCUACCAAGGCGGUGACGGGUAGCCGGCCUGAGAGGGUGGACGGUCACACUGGGACUGAGACACGGCCCAGACUCCGACGGGAGGCAGCAGUGGGGAAUAGUGCACAAUGGGCGCAAGCCUGAUGCAGCGACGCCGCGUGAGGGAUGGAGGCCUUCGGGUUGUGAACCUCUUUCGCCAGUGAAGCAGGCCUGCCUCGUUUGUGGGUGGGUUGACGGUAGCUGGAUAAGAAGCGCCGGCUAACUACGUG